UACAGAGGGGCAAGCGUUGUUCGGAAUUACUGGGCGUAAAGGGCGCGUAGGCGGCCCGCUAAGUCGAACGUGAAAUCCCCAGGCUCAACCUGGGAACUGCGUCCGAUACUGGCAGGCUUGAAUCCGGGAGAGGGAUGUGGAAUUCCAGGUGUAGCGGUGAAAUGCGUAGAUAUCGGGAGGAACACCAGUGGCGAAGGCGACUACCUGGCCUGUUUCUUGACGCUGAGGCGCGAAAGCUAGGGGAGCAAACGGG
rnacentral:rRNA from 1 species